UACGAAGGGUGCAAGCGUUACUCGGAAUUACUGGGCGUAAAGCGUGUGUAGGUGGUUUGUUAAGUCUGUUGUGAAAGCCCCGGGCUCAACCUGGGAAUGGCAAUGGAUACUGGCAAGCUAGAGUGCGGUAGAGGGUAGUGGAAUUCCCGGUGUAGCGGUGAAAUGCGUAGAGAUCGGGAGGAACACCAGUGGCGAAGGCGGCUACCUGGACCAGCACUGACACUGAGGCACGAAAGCGUGGGGAGCAAACAGG
rnacentral:rRNA from 1 species